rnacentral:rRNA from 1 species
AACGAACGCUGGCGGCAUGCCUAACACAUGCAAGUCGAACGAGACCUUCGGGUCUAGUGGCGCACGGGUGCGUAACGCGUGGGAACCUGCCCUUAGGUUCGGAAUAACUCCCCGAAAGGGGUGCUAAUACCGGAUAAUGUCUUCGGACCAAAGAUUUAUCGCCUUUGGAUGGGCCGGCGUUGGUUUAGCUAGUUGGUAGGGUAAAAGCCUACCAAGGCGACGAUCCAUAGCUGGUUUGAGAGGAUGAUCAGCCACACUGAGACUGAGACACGGCCCAGACUCCUACGGGAGGCAGCAGUGGGGAAUAUUGGACAAUGGGCGAAAGCCUGAUCCAGCAAUGCCGCGUGAGUGAUGAAGGCCUUAGAGUUGUAAAGCUCUUUUACCCGGGAUGAUAAUGACAGUACCGGGAGAAUAAGCUCCGGCUAACUCCGUG